rnacentral:rRNA from 1 species
UGCAGUCAAGGAGAAAUUAUCUUCGGAUAGUAAGUAAACUGGCGAACGGGUGAGUAACGCGUAAACAACUUGCCUCAGAGAUUGGGACAACAUUGGGAAACCAGUGCUAAUACCAAAUAAUGCAGCGGGCUCUUCGGAGCACAGUUGUUAAAGUAGGCUUCGGCUUACACUUUGAGAUAGGUUUGCGUCCGAUUAGUUAGUUGGUAGGGUAAUUGCCUACCAAGACCAAGAUCGGUAGCUGGUCUGAGAGGAUGAUCAGCCACACUGGAAUUGAGAUACGGUCCAGACUCCUACGGGAGGCAGCAGUAAGGAAUUUUGCACAAUGGGCGAAAGCCUGAUGCAGCAACGCCGCGUGAACGAUGAAGUUUUUAGGAAUGUAAAGUUCUGUCGUAUGGGAAGAGAUCUUUCGAAUGUUAAUACCAUUCGUUAAUGACGGUACCAUACAAGAAAGCACCGGCUAACUUCGUGCCAGCAGCCGCGGUAAUACGAGGGGUGCUAGCGUUGUCCGGAUUUACUGGGCGUAAAGGGUACGUAGGCGUUUUAAUAAGUUGUAUGUUAAAUAUCUUAGCUUAACUAAGAAAGUGCAUCCAAAACUGUUAAAAUAGAGUUUGAGAGAGGAACGCAGAAUUCAUGGUGGAGCGGUGACAUGCGUAGAUAUCAUGAGGAAAGUCAAAUGCGAAGGCAGCCUUCUGGCUCAAAACUGACGCUGAGGUACGAAAGCGUGGGGAGCGAACAGGAUUAGAUACCCUGGUAGUCCACGCCGUAAACGAUGAGUAUUUGGUGC